GGGACUGAUGUACGCUAGAGAAGGCGCCCUCUUCGGAGCAUUCAAGACAGGUGGUGCAUGGUUGUCGUCAGCUCGUGUCGUGAGAUGUUGGGUUAAGUCCCGCAACGAGCGCAACCCUUGAUCUUAGUUGCCAGCACUUCGGGUGGGCACUCUAGGAUGACUGCCGGUGACAAACCGGAGGAAGGUGGGGAUGACGUCAAAUCAUCAUGCCCCUUAUGACCUGGGCUACACACGUACUACAAUGGUCGAUACAACGGGAAGCGAAGCCGCGAGGUGGAGCCAAUCCUAUCAAAGUCGAUCUCAGUUCGGAUUGCAGGCUGCAACUCGCCUGCAUGAAGUCGGAAUUGCUAGUAAUCGCGGAUCAGCAUGCCGCGGUGAAUACGUUCCCGGGCCUUGUACACACCGA
rnacentral:rRNA from 1 species